rnacentral:tRNA from 1 species
CAGAGAAUAGUUUAUUUAAAAUAUUAAUUUUGGAGAUUAAUGAAAAGUUUAUCCUUUUCUCUGA